rnacentral:rRNA from 1 species
UACGUAGGGUGCAAGCGUUUAAUCGGAAUUACUGGGCGUAAAGCGUGCGCAGGCGGUUAUGUAAGACAGAUGUGAAGCCCCGGGCUCAACCCUGGGAACUGGCAUUUGUGACUGCAUAGCUAGAGUACGGUAGAGGGGGAUGGAAUUCCGCGUGUAGCAGUGAAAUGCGUAGAUAUCAGGAAGAACACCCGUGGCUAAGGCGGCUCUCUAGUA